AGCUUUGACUCGAUGAAAUCGAAGAGUGGGAGAGUCGUAACUGUGACCGGUAGACCUGGAAUUUUCAAGUUGACUCUUAUAAUCGACAGUCGCUCUCGGAAAUUCAGUUAACUUAGACCUAUCAAGUUACUUAAAAAAAAAAUCAGUAUGUGAUAAAGUGAUUUCGUGUUUGUACAUAAAGAAGUUGGAUACACAUUAUCGUAUAUGUGCGAUAAUUUUUCUAAAGAACUACCAUUUUUGACAAUUGUCGAGUACACUAAUAAACGAAUAUCUAACUGAUGGAUCCACCCAGAGACAUUCCGUUCGAAUAUAGUUAAAAAAUAUUUUUAAUUAUCUGCAAAAAAAUAAUCCGAAAAGGAAAGAAUUUUCUUCUUACAAUUAUGAGGAUACUGUGGCUGAUUGGGAUUGUCAUCAUCGUGUUAACAGAUGCACGUCUGAAUCAUGAAGGGACCAAAUGCGGACAACAAUUAUGUACAACCACUGAGUAUUGCAGUCCGUUCGACUCUCAGUGUAGACAAUGCUCAACAAUUUGCAAUGCUAGCAAUCACAAUCAUCAGAUCGAGCUCUGCGAAAAAGAUUGUCAAGAAUAUCUGCAUGAUCGAAGAUAUGUCCUUCGGGUCGAAAUGAGUCGUGUCGAAAUUCUCAAAGCCGAGAUUGACAGACUUACAACCCUGGUGAAAGUGUCAUUAACUUUGACUAUAAUGGCGACUGUCCUUGCACUCAUUUUGGGCGGCAAAAUCUUCAUCAAACUCCAAAGAAUUCGAAGCGCUGUACAAAAAAUCUUUGGCAGAUCCUGGACAAAGAUUUUUGAAUCAAUGCUUAACCCGCGACCACAGGGGUUGAAGUUUUUCGUUUAUAAUACAUGGGAUUUUUCUGCGUUUGUGAUCACGAUUUUACUGUGGGCCUCAAUCCGUUUGGAAAACCUUGUGUUUGUGCAAGGAGUCUGGUGUAGGUGGUAAAUAAUAAAUGCGGCGGAGAAUAGCGAAAAAUUGGCGGGAUCUCACAUCGAACUACUCAAUUAAAUAGUUAGAUGGAAAAGGGAUGGCAAAUUAAUAAACAAUUACAUUAUUGGAUAUUCAAGUUUUCUCCAAAUAUAUGGUCGGAUGAGGCAUUCCUUCGCCGAAGUUUCGAUUGAAAACCAUGCACGCCAAGAUUAAAACAACGAGUAGCAACAAUGGUCGCGAUGAUGUUGAGGUGGGUGUUGCAAAGCAGAAUGGUCUGAAACUGACGAUGCCGACAAUAAGCGCGACACUCAAGCCGUCACUAAGUACGAAUGGGGAUUCAACACCAACUACCACAAGCACACCGCUUUCGAGGCGUUAUCCGACCGAAGAUAAAACCUUGGAUUUUGCCUACGACAAUCCGGCUAUGACUCCAAGUUCGGAAAGCGUUUAACCAUGUACGAAGCGCGAAAGUUCUUCCUGAAAAUUUAUAUUAAAAAUCUUCAAGAAAAAAAAAUGUAUAAUCGCUUCUCUUAUCCUGAUUGUCGAAGAUAAUUUCAAAUCUCCGAUUUAUAAUACUAAAAAAAAUUAUAUAGUGUUAAAAUUCCUUUCAAUAUUUUUUCUGUAAGGUAUUGUUGUAUAUUAUAUCCAACAUUGUUUUUACUGUCAGUCAGUGUGAUGACUUCACAACUUUGUAUGAUUCUAUUCAUUCUUUUUUCUAAAUUCGAAAGUUUGUUGUGAAGACAGAUAUUAUAAUUUAAUAUGCUUCAAUUAUAGUUUGGUAUUAUCUAGUUUUAUGAAUUUAUUAAGUAUGUGGUUAUGUAACUUAAAACCCGUUCAUAUUUGAAGUGCUCAGUUUGCUGAAGUUUUUCUCAAUUUUCGAAGUGUUUAUAGCAAUAUUAACCCUUUGAAGCAUAGUGUCAUACUGGUAUGUUACCUACGUCCACUGAGUUUUUCUUUAAUCAAAUUGUUUUUUAGUACCUAACGAAAAUGUAAAUGUAUUUUAAGGAUGUUCGGAGGUCAAUCGUGACUACUUUACCGCUAUUAAGAGCUCAUGUUGUACUUAGCAGACGAUCACUACAGUGAAAAAAAAAAACACAUUUUUCAGCCAAUAAAUGUAAUUGUACCUAAUCUAGCAGGGAAAAAAUAAACAAAAAAUUAAUUCAGA